rnacentral:rRNA from 1 species
GCGUUAUUCGGAAUUAUUGGGCGUAAAGGGCGCGUAGGCGGCCUUGCGCGUCCUUCGUGAAAUCCCUCGGCUUAACUGAGGACGUGCGGAAGAAACUGCAGGGCUUGAGUCCGGGAGAGGGGGGUGGAAUUCCCAGUGUAGCGGUGAAAUGCGUAGAUAUUGGGAGGAACACCGGUGGCGAAGGCGGCCCCCUGGACCGGUACUGACGCUGAGGCGCGAAAGCGUG